AUCAAGCGCGAGAAGGGCGUUUGGUGGAUGCCUUGGCAGUAAGAGGCGAUGAAGGACGUGAUACUCUGCGAUAAGCUUGGGGGAGCCGAGAAUAGGCUUUGAUCCCAGGAUCUCCGAAUGGGGCAACCCACCUGAAUGUUCGUUAUUAUUGCUCUUCGGAGCAGCUAAUAACGUUCAUGACCAGGUACUCAUUAUCUGAAUAUAUAGGGUUUUGAGAGCAAACCCGGGGAACUGAAACAUCUAAGUACCCGGAGGAAAGGACAUCAAUAGAGACUCCGUUAGUAGUGGCGAGCGAACGCGGACCAGCCGAACCUUGAGCGUGACCGGAAAUACCUGGAAAGGUAUGCCAGAGCGGGUGACAGCCCCGUACGGGAAGCGUGAUGGGACGUAUCAAGUAGGGCGGGACACGUGAAAUCCUGUCUGAAGAUCGGGGGACCACCCCCGAAGGCUAAGUACUCCUUACUGACCGAUAGCGAACCAGUACCGUGAGGGAAAGGUGAAAAGCACCCCGACGAGGGGAGUGAAACAGUACCUGAAACCGAGCGCCUACAAUCAGUCGGAGCUUGACUGGACUCUUAUGACGAUCUGAGUCGUCAUAAGUGUCCAGUCUUGUGACGGCGUACCUUUUGUAUAAUGGGUCAUCGACUUGGUCUAUCCAGCAAGCUUAAGCCGUUAGGUGUAGGCGCAGCGAAAGCGAGUCUUAAUAGGGCGUCUCAGUUGGAUGGAUCAGACCCGAAACCGAGUGAUCUAGGCAUGACCAGGAUGAAGGUACGGUAACACGUACUGGAGGUCCGAACCCACACCUGUUGAAAAAGGUCGGGAUGAGUUGUGCCUAGGGGUGAAAGGCCAAUCAAACUCGGAGAUAGCUGGUUCUCCGCGAAAUCUAUUUAGGUAGAGCGUCAUCCGAAUACCCCGGGGGGUAGAGCACUGGAUGGGUAAUGGGGCCCCACAGGCUUACUGAUCCUAACCAAACUCCGAAUACCCGGGAGUACUAGAUGGCAGACACACUGCGGAUGCUAACGUCCGUAGUGAAGAGGGAAACAACCCUGACCUCCAGCUAAGGCCCCCAAUUCAUGGCUAAGUGGGAAAGCAGGUGAGACGGCCAAAACAACCAGGAGGUUGGCUUAGAAGCAGCCAUCCUUUAAAGAUAGCGUAACAGCUCACUGGUCUAAUCAAGCUGUCUUGCGGCGAAGAUGUAACGGGGCUCAAGCCAUGAGCCGAAGCUGAGGACGCGAGAGCGUGGUAGCGGAGCGUGGUGUGACAUAGUCUCAUUCCUCCUUCGAUCCUUCGGGAUCAUUGGAGGAGAGAGGCUUGCUGAGAAGCCGGACCGUAAGGUUUACCGGUGGAGCGAUCACCAGCGAGAAUGAUGACAUGAGUAGCGACAAGGAGUGUGAGAGACACUCCCGCCGAAAGUCCAAGGGUUCCUGCUUAAAGCUAAUCUGAGCAGGGUAAGCCGGCCCCUAAGGCGAGGCCGAAAGGCGUAGUCGAUGGGAACCAGGUUAAUAUUCCUGGGCCAGGAGAUGGUGACGGAUUGUCCGAGUCGUAUGUCCCUUAUCGGAUUGGGGCAUAUAUGCGGCAGUCCCUGGAAAUAGCCCUCCUUCGGACCGUACCCGAAACCGACACAGGUGGACUGGUAGAGAAUACCAAGGCGCUUGAGAGAACGACGUUGAAGGAACUCGGCAAAAUACCUCCGUAAGUUCGCGAGAAGGAGGCCCGGGCUAUGAUGUCCGGGGGCACAAACCAGGGGGUGGCGACUGUUUACUAAAAACACAGGGCUCUGCGAAGCCGCAAGGCGACGUAUAGGGUCUGACGCCUGCCCGGUGCCUGAAGGUUAAAAGGAGGGGUGCAAGCUCCGAAUUGAAGCCCAGGUAAACGGCGGCCGUAACUAUAACGGUCCUAAGGUAGCGAAAUUCCUUGUCGGGUAAGUUCCGACCUGCACGAAUGGCGUAACGACUUCCCCGCUGUCUCCAACGUCGACUCAGCGAAAUUGAAUUGCCGGUCAAGAUGCCGGCUACCCGCGGUUAGACGGAAAGACCCCGUGCACCUUUACUACAGCUUCAGACUGGCACCAGGCCAGGCAUGUGCAGGAUAGGUGGUAGGCUUUGAAACCGGGACGCCAGUUCCGGUGGAGCCACCCUUGAGAUACCACCCUUGCCUCGCUUGGUGUCUAACCGCGAACCGUCAUCCGGUUCCGGGACCCUCUGUGGCGGGUAGUUUGACUGGGGCGGUCGCCUCCUAAAGCGUAACGGAGGCGCGCGAAGGUUGGCUCAGAGCGGUCGGAAAUCGCUCGUUGAGUGCAAUGGCAGAAGCCAGCCUGACUGCGAGACUGACAAGUCGAGCAGAGUCGAAAGACGGCCAUAGUGAUCCGGUGGUCCCAAGUGGGAGGGCCAUCGCUCAACGGAUAAAAGGUACGCCGGGGAUAACAGGCUGAUACUGCCCAAGAGUCCAUAUCGACGGCAGUGUUUGGCACCUCGAUGUCGGCUCAUCUCAUCCUGGGGCUGGAGCAGGUCCCAAGGGUACGGCUGUUCGCCGUUUAAAGAGGUACGUGAGCUGGGUUUAGAACGUCGUGAGACAGUUCGGUCCCUAUCUGCCGUGGGUGUAGGAGACUUGAGAGGAGUUGACCCUAGUACGAGAGGACCGGGUUGAACGAUCCACUGGUGGACCUGUUGUUGCGCCAGCAGCAGUGCAGGGUAGCUAUGAUCGGACAGGAUAACCGCUGAAGGCAUCUAAGCGGGAAGCCCCCCUCAAAACAAGGUCUCCCCGAGGGCCGUGGUAGACGACCACGUCGAUAGGCUGGAGGUGUAAGCGUGGCAACACGCUCAGCUGACCAGUACUAAUGGCCCGACAGGCUUGGUUCG
rnacentral:rRNA from 1 species